rnacentral:rRNA from 1 species
AGUACUAUAUAAUAGUUAAAACUUUCAACAACGGAUCUCUUGGUUCUGGCAUCGAUGAAGAACGCAGCGAAAUGCGAUAAGUAAUGUGAAUUGCAGAAUUCAGUGAAUCAUCGAAUCUUUGAACGCACAUUGCGCCCUCUGGUAUUCCGGGGGGCAUGCCUGUUCGAGCGUCAUUACAACCCUCAAGCUCAGCUUGGUGUUGGGCUCGCCCCCAGUGGGCCUGCCUCAAAAUCAGUGGCGGCUCCGUCCGGUCUCAAGCGCAGUAAUACUCGUCGCUUGUUGGUCCCGGGCGGUGGUCUGCUAACAACCCCCAAUUUUUACAUUGUUGACCUCGGAUCAGGUAGGGAUACCCGCUGAACUUAAGCAUAUCAAUA